GCCAACAGCUAUACCACCCUUAAUGUUCCUGAUCUUGUCCGAUCUCAGAAGCUAAGCAGGUUUGGGCCUGGUUAAUACUUGGAU
rnacentral:rRNA from 1 species